rnacentral:rRNA from 1 species
CGGGGGGUGCCCUAGCGGCGAACGGGUGAGUAACACGUGGGCAACCUGCCCUCAGCUCUGGGAUAACUCCAAGAAAUUGGUGCUAAUACCGGAUGUGACCGCUGACCGCAUGGUCUGGUGGUGGAAAGAUUCAUCGGCUGAGGAUGGGCCCGCGGCCUAUCAGCUUGUUGGUGGGGUAAUGGCCCACCAAGGCGACGACGGGUAGCCGGCCUGAGAGGGUGACCGGCCACACUGGGACUGAGACACGGCCCAGACUCCUACGGGAGGCAGCAGUGGGGAAUAUUGCGCAAUGGGCGAAAGCCUGACGCAGCGACGCCGCGUGAGGGAUGACGGCCUUCGGGUUGUAAACCUCUUUCAGUAGGGACGAAGCGAAAGUGACGGUACCUACAGAAGAAGCACCGGCCAACUACGUGCCAGCAGCCGCGGUAAUACGUAGGGUGCAAGCGUUGUCCGGAAUUAUUGGGCGUAAAGAGCUCGUAGGCGGUCUGUCACGUCGGCUGUGAAAACCCGAGGCUCAACCUCGGGCCUGCAGUCGAUACGGGCAAACUAGAGUACUGCAGGGGAGACUGGAAUUCCUGGUGUAGCGGUGAAAUGCGCAGAUAUCAGGAGGAACACCGGUGGCGAAGGCGGGUCUCUGGGCAGUAACUGACGCUGAGGAGCGAAAGCGUGGGGAGCGAACAGGAUUAGAUACCCUGGUAGUCCACGCCGUAAACGUUGGGCGCUAGGUGUGGGGGCCAUU